rnacentral:lncRNA from 1 species
CCGCCACGGGGGAGCCCCCGCCGCAACCCCGCACCGGGGAGGGGGGGCUCCGGGCCGAACCGCGCCGCGGAGCCGAGCCGCGCCGAGCCGCGCUGAGCCGAGCCGGGUGCCGCAGGCUCANNNNNNNNNNNNNNNNNNNNNNNNNNNNNNNNNNNNNNNNNNNNNNNNNNNNNNNNNNNNNNNNNNNNNNNNNCCCCCGGCAGGUGCGCGGCGGGCGGGGCCGGGCCGAGCGGGGCCGCCCACGCCGGGGCCGCCCCCGGGCACAGCCACCUGGGGGCCGCGGGGCCCCGCUCCCCCCCGCUAACCCCGAGGGGUCGCUCCGGGCCCCGGGAGCCGCGGUGGAUGCAGCGGGAGGAUGCCGGGGCCGAGGGGCGAGCCCGGGUGCCCGCAGGGUGGGGGACGGGGAAGUUUUGUCUGCUGGCCCGCAGCCAAGGCGGUGGAGGGGGCACAGGGCUGGGGGUGCCGGGCUGUAAGUCACCAGGAGGCAGCGACCCGUGGGGCGGAAUCCAGUUAAUCGGCACAAUUCCCACCCCAGGUUAAACACUGAAGCAGGUAUACACCCGGAUUUCGGAGGAAGUGGUUAUUUUUCACAUCUCUUAUUUAACCUGGAUUGGUAGAGGUAUUUUGGGGAACAGUAAACCUCUCCUAGGUUUAUCAACUACUUGAUAUUAAUAACUAACCGCUUGAUAACAACGUAAGGACACCUUGUCAUUUUGCCUUUCAUGCAUUUCUGUUUGUUUUGCUUUGUUUCCUGGUUAUGUUGCAGAGGUCAUAACUUUAAAGAAAAUAAAAAAGAAAAAAAAAAAAGAAAAGAAAAAAGAGAGANNNNNNNNNNUAUAUAUAUAUAUUUUUUUUUUUUUUUCCAGGGGUCCUUUGAGUGCUGUAACAGGCAGCAGUUCAUCCAAUCCACACGUGACAGAGGAAGAUGGCCAAUGUUCUUCCUCGAGCAGCAAUCCAGUGCCACUUGCCUCACUACUGCCAUAACAGCCUGCUGUCUGAGGAAGACAGGAGUGAGAAGAGGGACAUGAGCAGAACUUGACAUGUAUCCUGAAGAGGAUCAUUUUUUCUGUGUAAAAGUCGAGCUCCUCACAGGUUAUCACAUACACUCUUGGAGAGGCUGUGCCAGCUGACUGAAUUUUGCGGUAUAUCUGACACACGGCUUCAAAAAAUACCAUUGACAAGAACUCAGAGAGGAUGAGUGUUUGUCCUCCUGCCCCACUUGUGGUCACCAUUCUGCACAAAACGUGAGGGAGAAAUGUAAGAGAGUAUGUAUAGACUUGUUAGAAUUUAAAUGAUCGUCUCUGCAAGAUGAGAAGGAAAAGCUCAGAUCAGACAUAUGGGGAGACAGCUUAACAGCUCGCCAUUCAGAACAAAUCUGUGCGCUAUUUGAAAUUCUGGGGUUGUUUGCCUCUGACACAAGAACGCUAUGCAGAUAAAACAGCUAUGAUGUGACCUUUCCAUAAUGAAAUGUAUAGAGAUGCUUUGAUUUCAGUUCUCUUUGAGGAAAGAGGAUCGUGUUGUUCACUUCUGAGUCAAAGGUGAAGCCCCACUUCUCAAAGGAAGUCAGACCUGGCAGAUCGGAGCAAGUUCUUCAAAUCGCUCAGCCUGCGGUCCAUCAGGUCCAAGCCAGACAUCUUUGGUGGUGGGCAGACCUUGAAAUGUCUGGGUAUUCAAUUCACAUCGAAUUUUCAGGCUAAAUUCUCAAUGUCACUAUUUGAAAACUGACUCUCUCUUUCUGCUAUCCCAUGACUAAUGCAAAGAAAAGAUGACAGGUUUGAUUUUUUUUUUUUUAAUACAAACGUAUUUGUGAAAUUGAGAUAAAUAUAAUUUUCUCUCUGAAUGGCUAACCACGUCAUGGAGCUAGAGACACAUUCACACACAGCACUUUGAGGGAUCUGCACUGUAUUAUGUCACCUUGCCAUGCAUUAUAAUCAACAUUUGACAAAUUCAACAGCAUUUUACUCACGAUGAAAAAAAAAAUAUUAUGCAGAGAAUGCUCAAGAUCUUUACAGAAUAAUAGAAUAAUUCUGAUUGGAAAGGGCUUCUAAUGAUCAUGUGCUCCAACUUCUUUGUCAAAGAAGGGCCAACUUUAAAAUUAUAUCCCAUUGUCCAGAAUCUUGUCCAGUUGAGUUUUCUGUGUAACCAAGGUUGCAGAUACCACGGCUUUUCUGGGCACUUUUUAAAGAACUGUAACAAAGUUCACUUUAAAAAAUUGAAAAGUUUGCAGGAUCCAUGUGGCUCCGAGGACUUUGGCUCUGUCUUUUGGGUAUAUGGGAUGCUUGAGCAGAGGGCAUAUUGUGUGGAGUGGUUGGACCAGUGAAUGUGCUUUGAGUCAACAUGUUUCCACAUUUUCUGAUUAAAAUAAAUGUCUGGGACAGGCCCUUCUUUGUUUCUAUUACAGAAUAUGCAACUCCUGUCUCAUAAAAGGCACCAGACUAUGCAAGCCAUUGGAUAUAUUCGUGUUUCCUAAAGGAUUAUGGAAUUUAUUUUAUAAUUUAUUAAUUAAUAAAAAUAUAUAUUUAUUUCAGUGUGAUUCUUGUACUUGCCUGUACAUUGUUUAUACCUCACCUUGCUUGCCUGUUUUAGUCUUCGUUUGCUGUGCUUUUUAUACUCUGAGUGAAAGCAAUGGGAAAACUCACAAGAACUCCCAAAGCAGUAGGUCUAAUGUGGGGUGAAAGGAGCAUUUCUGCUGGCAUGAACUUCUGCACUGUUUUUAGUACUGAGUAUGUACAGAAUAUCGACAGGUGUGAACUCUGUUACUGGCUUAAUUCUGAGAGUAUGUCAGAAUAGGUAUCUGGCAUUAUGGUGAUGAAACUAUCAGCAGGGUUAAAAAAAUAAAUAAAGGAAGAAUUGUUUGUUUUUCUCAGUUAAUCCCCCAAAAGAAAAGCACUUGGAGCCUUAUUGUUGCACAUGACUCUGCUUAGGAAGAUCACCACAUCAUGUGGUGAUCAAUGAACUUAUUCUUACCUUUUCAGAAGUACAGUACAAUCUUUAAUAGGCAUGAGGAAGCUCUUCAUCUCUGAAGAAAGGCCCUUCAGAGGCACAGUGCCUGAAGCAUCACAGAGAUGUGGAGGGGAAAAUGCCUCUUGUUAAGACAUCAGUGCUACUCCCUGCAGUGCCCGAUCUCCCCUGCAUGCCCUUAGCUACCCCCAGUGUUUCUAGGCUCAUCAGAGCUGACAAGAUCAAAGCCACUGGUGCUCUUGCCAGUUUGCAAGCAAGAGCACCAAGUAUAUUAAAAAAUAAACAGCGAUACUCGCAGUGAUGUAUUUCCUCUGUUGUAUCUGA